CCUACGGGAGGCAGCAGUGAGGAAUAUUGGUCAGUGGGCUUACGCCUGAACCAGCCAAGUCGCGUGAGGGAAGACUGCCCUAUGGGUUGUAAACCUCUUUUGUCAGGGAGCAACGCCGGCUACGUGUAGCCGGACUGAGAGUACCUGAAGAAAAAGCAUCGGCUAACUCCGUGCCAGCAGCCGCGGUAGUACGGAGGAUGCGAGCGUUAUCUGGAUUUAUUGGGUUUAAUGGGUGCGCAGGCGGAAGAUCAAGUCAGCGGUAAAAUUGCGAGGCUCAACCUCGUCGAGCCGUUGAAACUGGUUUUCUUGAGUGAGUGAGAGGUAUGCGGAAUGCGUGGUGUAGCGGUGAAAUGCAUAGAUAUCACGCAGAACUCCGAUGGCGAAGGCAGCUUACUGGACUGUAACUGACGUUGAGGCUCGAAAGCGUGGGGAGCAAACAGGAUUAGAUACCCCAGUAGUC
rnacentral:rRNA from 1 species